rnacentral:rRNA from 1 species
AUAUUGGACAAUGGGCGAAAGCCUGAUCCAGCCAUGCCGCGUGUUUGAAGAAGGUCUUCGGAUUGUAAAGCUCUUUAUGUUGGGAGGAAGGGUUGUAGGUUAAUACCCUGCAAUUUUGACGUUACCAACCGAAUAAGGCCCGGCUAACUUCGUGACCGCAGCCGCGGUAAUACGAAGGGUGCAAGCGUUAAUCGGAAUUACUGGGCGUAAAGCGUGCGUAGGUGGUUCGGUAAGAUAGAAGUGAAAGCCCCGGGCUUAACCUGGGAAUUGCAUUUAAAACUGACGAGCUAGAGUACGGUAGAGGGUAGUGGAAUUUCCUGUGUAGCAGUGAAAUGCGUAGAUAUGUGAAGGAACACCGGUGGCGAAGGCGACCACCUGGAAUGAUACUGACACUGAGAUGCGAAAGCGUGGGGAGCAAACAGG